rnacentral:lncRNA from 1 species
GAAAGGAUUCAGAGUUUCACAAAUUGAAAACUGAAGUAACAAAAAUUAAAAAGAAAUUGAGGUUACUCAAUCAUGGCGCCAACGGCAACGGAACUCUAUAAUAGUGGUACUCUAUAAUAGUGCAGGGUGAGUCUGCAGAAACGGAGUCAUUGUGAAAAGAGAAACGUUAUAACGGCCAUACGAUAAGUGAAAUUAAAUCAUUUAUUAGAUCAACUGAUCCUAUCGCCAAAGUUGUGGACAGCGCCCUCAAAAAGCUGUUUACAAUUGAUGAGAUUUUGAACUGUUUCAUAACCAGCAGAAGAGGCACAAAAAGUAAUGACGAAGGGCCGCGUCUGCAUUAGACCAGGAAAUAUUUAAUGUCUUUUUGGACAUAAUUUUAUCCAGUUGUGAGGCCUCUAGGAACGAAAUUGUGGAGAAAGUGCAAAAUGUGAUGAAAACGAACCGCAAAAAGCACAGAAAUUCACAACAGUGUGACAAUUCAAUACAGCCCGCUAUAUACUGUGCGGAACUUUGCACAUAAUAUAUGCACAUAAUAUAUAAAUACUUUGCACAUAAGUGACUCCAUUAUUCAUUAACCGUUUCUAUUAGAUUUAGAGUAUUUCACCG